GGAGAGAUGCCAGAGUGGUCGAUUGGGGCGGUCUCGAAAACCGUUGUCCUGUUUGACGGGACCGGGGGUUCGAAUCCCUCUCUCUCCG
rnacentral:tRNA from 1 species